rnacentral:tRNA from 1 species
AGAGACUUAGGCUAAUAACAGACCAAGGGCCUUCAAAGCCCUAAGUGGGGGGGAGACUCCCCCAGUCCCUG